rnacentral:rRNA from 1 species
CGAAAGCCUGACGGAGCAAUACCGCGUGAGGGAGGAAGGCUUUUGGGUUGUAAACCUCUUUUCCCAAGGAAGAAAAAAAUGACGGUACUUGAGGAAUCAGCAUCGGCUAACUCCGUGCCAGCAGCCGCGGUAAUACGGAGGAUGCAAGCGUUAUUCGGAAUUAUUGGGCGUAAAGCGUCCGCAGGUGGUGCCUCAAGUCUGCUGUCAAAGACCGAAGCUUAACUUCGGGCAGGCGGUGGAAACUGAAGCACUAGAGUACGGUAGGGGUAGAGGGAAUUUCCAGUGUAGCGGUGAAAUGCGUAGAGAUUGGAAAGAACACCAGUGGCGAAGGCGCUCUACUGGACCGUAACUGACACUCAGGGACGAAAGCUAGGGUAGCG